UCGGUGAACAAGACUCAAAAUUGAAAUCAGAUUCAAAAGAACUUUGACUUUUGAAAACCUUAUAAAACAUAACCUCUCAUUUCUCUCAAAACAUUCUUCCGACUUUUGAAGAUCCAAAGUUGACGAUGAUAUAAGAGAAAUCGGAGUUGGAGCUUUAUUUUUCUGCAUUUCUCCCUUGACAGGUUUAGUGUUUUCUUCCAAAUCUUUCUUUCUCUAUCUCUUUCUCUCGAUCUUCAUUUUCGUAUUAAUGGAGAUAUGCAUGCGACAAUGGAAGGAGAUGUGUUUACUUUAAUGUUGUAAUUUUAACUUUAUGCGUUGGUUCUAACCCUAAUUAGUCAAAAUCCUCCCCCCAAGGUAGCAAAUGUUCUUGAUGUAUGUGAUGCAGGUUGUGCUCUUUAAUCCCUAUGCACACACAUAUUUGCGUUUUUGGUGGUCAUAGGUCUCCAACCAAACAAUAAAUUUACAUUCUCUGAAAAUACAGGUGGAUUCUACUAAUCGCCUUUUCUGUUGCCUGAAGUUUUCUCACUCCUGUUUUUCAAUCUCUCCAUGGCUUUAAAGAGUCGGCCUGCAAGCCAAAUCAUUGAAGUUGAAGAAGACGAGGAGUCUGAAUUGAAGUUAAAGCCGAAGAAGACGAGACGUCUGAUGCCCUGGGUUCUCGAGAAGACGAUUCAAACAAGUAUUCAUUGACUGCAAAUCUUAAUUAAACAUACGGUUCUCUCACUUUCAGAUUAACAAAGUUCUUGAUCCUCCUAAUUUUCUUCUUUCUGAAAUUCAGAACUGCUGAAGUGAAGUUUUCCAUCAGUGGUGCCAUUACUAUUUCGUGUGUUUGUGUUAGGUUUCGAUUGAUACCAAAAAAUGGAAAGAUAAGAGAUUUUGUGCCAUUUGGUUUGGCGAUUUAAGGAAUGACUAUAAGAAUUGAAACUUGCUUUGAGCUUCAAUAUUUGAAUUGGACAUCUUAUUAGCUUUAGGUGAGCUUAAUUUUUGGAUUCAUUGAUGCUAUAUAGGAAGAAGUAUGGUGAUGUUUUGGUGUUGGACUAAACGAUCAGAUCUCAGAGCUUUAUCAAAUCAGUUCAAAGUUCAAACGAUGCUACUUUCAUAUUCAUGGGUCCUCUUCAAUCAUCAGGGGAACUACAAUUGGUGUUCUCAAGAGUCCAAAUUCAGCCUUUCACAGGACUGGAUCCAAGUUUGGCAACUGUGUGCGAUUCUUUGUUGCACCUGUUCAGGUCAAACCGAAAUAUGAAGAUAAGGACAAGGGGCGUCCACGAAUGAAUAAAUAAAUAUUUGCUCAGUGUGUUAGAAUUGUAACAGAUGAAGGUAUGUCUACUACUAAUUCAUGUACUUCAUACAACUUUCAGAAUGUAAAAAGAUUGUGUGA